rnacentral:misc_RNA from 1 species
GAGCCAUCUAGACCAGUUUCCUACCUGUUUGGCAUGAAGACAAACAAGAUCCUUAGAUCAAGAGAAACUAAGAGAGCUGAUCUUCUCAUAAUUAACACCACAAAUAGAAUUCUCUUUGUCAUCAUAAUCACUUCCAGAGAAUCUAGUAGGUAUUUCAAGAACAUCUUCUUCCCAUUUUCAUCUCCUUUUCCAAUUCCCUUUUCUUUAUUUAAAGAUUCUUGAAUUAACUCAUAAGCCCCGACAUAUUCAUAAAAGCUAACAGCAUAUGACAAACGUAAUAAAACUUGUGAGACUGCCCAGGAUCAAAAUUAGAAAGUAUGCAUAAUCAAGUACAAUUUUAGCAGGCUUCUUACUUAUAGCCCAUUUGAUUUCAGUUCCUUAUUGUUUCUUCAGCACAUUAUCUAGAGAGGUCAAUCUAAAACUGGCCUAAAGAUUAUGGUACUAAUCAUUUGAUCAUUCAUCCUUGAAGAAGCUGAUGCAGAAAAUUUUCCACCUCAGCCUAAAGGAAGGAAGAAGAGAA